UAUAUUUUAGUGUAUGAUGCACAAUAAUUUUUGAUAUUAUUAGAUUAUAGUUUAAUUCUAUAAAAUAUAA
rnacentral:tRNA from 1 species